AUGGUGUCUGGCGGUCGACCGACACUGGCAUGUUUGGUUCUCAGAUGGGUAGGUGGUUGUGUGGAGAUGAAAAUUCUUCUUCCUCGUCAGUAUGAUUUUCUACUGUGUUUCUUCAUCAUUCUUUGUGCUGCUGCUGGAGGGAUGUCCUGCUUUGCCCGGACGGUUGGCCCAGCCGCGGUGUCGGAACCGGAUCGUAGUUCUCUUUCAUCCGAAAGGGGCACAUAUAGCGGUACACAAAGCCACAGAUGGCGAAGGUUGGUGCAGGCGUGUUGGAUGCACAUGUGUGUCCUUAUCUUUUUGGCGCCGGAGCGAAGAAGUGGGUGA
rnacentral:rRNA from 1 species